UCUUCUGGGCUUUUCCAGUCGAAGCCGUUUGUAUGUUUCUUUUGGGCCGCCUAUAAAUGCUUGGCCUCCUGGUCCUCUCGUCGCCCACCCCCUAUCUCUCUAUUGUUUGCGAUCUCUCCGAAGAAAUCGCCACAGCCGUACCUCCUAGCUUUGCAGCCAGGGAACCCGCCAUCAAGAGGAUGGCGUGGACGGAGAGCACCACUCCCCGUGUCACGUCGCCCGCCGCUAAUCUCCUUGUCUCCGUCCGCUGAGGAGCCGACGGACGGCUUGGCGGCAGUCCCACGGCGGCUGGGCUCCCCAUCACUCGACGAGGUUGAGAGAGAGCGGCGGCUCCCCAACAAUCUCCCAGCAGCACCAGCCGCCUGCCGGUCCUGGAACUCGACGUCUCGACCUGCAACCGGCUGUCGGCCAGCCCCAAUGAUGUGGGUUCCGUCUAUUCUUCCUCUACCUGGUUGCGUCCAUCCACUUCCACCUCGGCUGUCUCGCCCACGAGGAGCAGAAUUGGAGAACGAACGAAGUGGAUGCGGAGAGGCCAGCAAGGAGCGCGCCAGGAGAGACAUAGGGCAGGUUUUUUCAUCCUCAAACCAUACUUUAUGCAUGUGAGCACGUCUUAUUUUGUUACGUGUUUGUUACGCAUUAGAGGUUUGAAAAUCUGGAUGUCUCAGUUAUCCCUGCACUCGACACUCGUGCACCUAAUGCAUAAGGAUUAGGGCAUUCGGCCAUUGUUCUAGACUGUUGGAUCGCCUUGGAGUUAUCCAUACAUGGUCUUGCUUGAAGCGAGAAAUUUUCCCCAAUGCUUAUCAGGCCACUGUUCUGGACAGUUGAUUUUUUACCUUGGAGUGAGAAAAAUAUACUUUCAGUUAGACAAAUUUCCCAGCAGUAGAUUUUGUUCAGUUCUAUAUGAGGCCAUUGUAUAUCAGUUAUCAAUCACACUCAAUAUUUGCCUUGGAACUCUAAAUUUUCCUAACGAUUCUCCAUUUGAGCCUGUAAUUGUGCCAUAUUGCUAUGAACGUCAGUGAGCCUUGAAGCAACUGGUGCUCCACUGCGCACUCCCUUUGGUAAACUACUUUUCUUCUUACCUUGCUUUUUGUUGCCAUGAAGGUUCUGAUAAAGUACAAGGACAUGUUGUUGGUACUGGUGCAUUUCUGGUUCAAGUGUUUGGCCUUGGUCCAAAGCCUUGGUCGAGUGCUUCAUCUUCCAUUUCUACUAAAAUGGCUUUGUUAUGUUCAUAAUCACAUGAUUGGAGCAGAAUGAAUUAUAUUCACCUACUCACUUUGGUCCUCAUGUGGAGCUUUACAUACUUGACUUUAAAUGGCAGGUACCCUAGGGCGACAGUGCAUGUGUUUUUUUUCUUUCUCUGGGAAGUGUCUUAUUUUGAAACAAACUGUCAGUGAUGAUUCGAUGAGUACAUCGGAACACAACUUAUCAUUUCUCAGUUUCAACUGUACAUGUUAUGAUUCCAGUUAGCAUUUUGCUUGGACACUGGCACAUAAUUUAUAUUUUGGGAAAUCGCUUAUUAGGAAUAAAUUGUUAUUGUUAAUUCAAUUUACAUAGCUUCUUCAAUGCAGGGUUACAGCUUUGUUCUUCUUGGGAAGUUGCAAACUGGGAAGUGGAAUAUGUACCGAAAGAUGGAAUUUCCUAGAGGACAAUGGGAAGGUAGAGUUCAGCAAUACAACUGUAUUUUCUGAGGAACCUCUCAUACAAUCGAAUCUACUUCGCAGAGUACACUGAUAGGGGUAACACCCCAACCAAAAAACUUUGCCAUUUGAAUGUUGGAGCUUGCUACAACUAUUGAGCUAACAAGGGUCAGAUAAUCAACAUAUGCUGCUCUAAGAUGGUAGAGCUUAUCUAAGAGGGUAGAACUUCCAAUAUGUGUAAUGUGUAUUUUAGUAGUACGGAUCAGCUUUUGAAACAGACAUUUUGUUAAAAGUUCUACUUCUACCUGUAUGAAGUGAUUCAAAAUUGGACUUGUGAAUACCGGUGAUGUUGUUGACUCUGGUCUCUUCAUCAGGAAAUUACA